CCCUUAGAUGCUCUGGGCCGCACGCGCGCUACACUGGUCGAUGCAACGAGUUUCUUUCCUUGGCCGACAGGCCUGGGCAAUCUUUGAACAUCGAUCGUGAUCGGGAUAGAUUCUUGUAAUUUUUGAUCUUAAACGAGGAAUUCCUAGUAAACGCAAGUCAUCAGCUUGCAUUGAUUACGUCCCUGCCCUUUGUACACACCGCCCGUCGCACCUACCGAUUGAAUGGUCCGGUGAAAUCUCCGGACUGGCGUGAGUCGGAGCAAUCUGACAAACACCGGAAAGUUGAUGAAACCUUACCAUUUAGAGGAAGGUGAAGUCGUAACA
rnacentral:rRNA from 1 species